GGGACUACACGGGUAUCUAAUCCUGUUUGCUCCCCACGCUUUCGCACCUCAGCGUCAGUACCGGGCCAGUGAGCCGCCUUCGCCACUGGUGUUCUUGCGAAUAUCUACGAAUUUCACCUCUACACUCGCAGUUCCACUCACCUCUCCCGGACUCGAGAUCCCCAGUAUCAAAGGCAGUUCCAGGGUUGAGCCCUGGGAUUUCACCUCUGACUUAAAGAUCCGCCUACGUGCGCUUUACGCCCAGUGAUUCCGAACAACGCUAGCCCCCUUCGUAUUACCGCGGCGGCUGGCACG
rnacentral:misc_RNA from 1 species